UACGUAGGGUGCGAGCGUUAAUCGGAAUUACUGGGCGUAAAGCGUGCGCAGGCGGCUUUGCAAGACAGAUGUGAAAUCCCCGGGCUCAACCUGGGAACUGCAUUUGUGACUGCAAGGCUAGAGUACGGCUGAGGGGGAUGGAAUUCCGCGUGUAGCAGUGCACUGCGUAGAUAUGCGGAGGAACACCAAUGGCGAAGGCAAUCCCCUGGGCCUGUACUGACGCUAAUGCACGAAAGCGUGGGGCGCAAACAGG
rnacentral:rRNA from 1 species